AGCAGGCCCUGCUGCUGCGUGCCUGUGAGACCUCACAAGCGCAGGACAAGGAGGAUGCUGUGCUGUUCAGGGCACUCAAUUUGGAGAAAGAGCCUCCUGGAUUUCCAGCAGGGUGAUGCUGGAUGUGUCCUGCUUCACAUCUCACCCAUAGGAGACCUCAUUUUAGGGGCUGCAGGCAUAGGCACCAUCCUGGUCUUCUCCAGCCCCCGGCGCAGCUUCAUGCAGCAGAGCAGCGAGGCAAAACAACGGCUCCAGCAGCAGGCAGAGGAUAGCACCAGGCAGCAGAGAGCAGCCGUGAGUUCUACUCCUCUCAUCACUCCCCUACAUUCCCUGAAGACUCCUCUUGUCACCAUUGAUGGCUUUAGGUACAUCAGAGACUGUGAGGAGCACAGCUGUGGUGGCCAUCAAAGCCAUACUUUCUCCAGCAUGGGAAGCUGCAAGAAGACAAGAAGGAGGCAGAGAUAAGGGAAUGCUUCACUCAUGAGGGUCUCAAAGCACCAGGGAACGGUUAUGGUCUGGAAGAACCAUAUAACAAGAGU
ensembl:lncRNA